AGUGAACGCUGGCGGUAGGCCUAACACAUGCAAGUCGAACGGCAGCACAGUAAGAGCUUGCUCUUACGGGUGGCGAGUGGCGGACGGGUGAGGAAUACAUCGGAAUCUACUUUUUCGUGGGGGAUAACGUAGGGAAACUUACGCUAAUACCGCAUACGACCUACGGGUGAAAGCAGGGGAUCUUCGGACCUUGCGCGAUUGAAUGAGCCGAUGUCGGAUUAGCUAGUUGGCGGGGUAAAGGCCCACCAAGGCGACGAUCCGUAGCUGGUCUGAGAGGAUGAUCAGACACACUGGAACUGAGACACGGUCCAGACUCCUACGGGAGGCAGCAGUGGGGAAUAUUGGACAAUGGGCGCAAGCCUGAUCCAGCCAUACCGCGUGGGUGAAGAAGGCCUUCGGGUUGUAAAGCCCUUUUGUUGGGAAAGAAAAGCAGCAGGUUAAUACCCCGCUGUUCUGACGGUACCCAAAGAAUAAGCGCCGGCUAACUUCGUG
rnacentral:rRNA from 1 species